GAUGAACGCUGGCGGCGUGCCUAAUACAUGCAAGUCGAGCGAACAGAUAAGGAGCUUGCUCCUUUGACGUUAGCGGCGGACGGGUGAGUAACACGUGGGUAACCUACCUAUAAGACUGGAAUAACUCCGGGAAACCGGGGCUAAUGCCGGAUAACAUUUAGAACCGCAUGGUUCUAAAGUGAAAGAUGGUUUUGCUAUCACUUAUAGAUGGACCCGCGCCGUAUUAGCUAGUUGGUAAGGUAACGGCUUACCAAGACAACGAUACGUAGCCGACCUGAGAGGGUGAUCGGCCACACUGGAACUGAGACACGGUCCAGACUCCUACGGGAGGCAGCAGUAGGGAAUCUUCCGCAAUGGGCGAAAGCCUGACGGAGCAACGCCGCGUGAGUGAUGAAGGUCUUCGGAUCGUAAAACUCUGUUAUUAGGGAAGAACAAAUGUGUAAGUAACUGUGCACGUCUUGACGGUACCUAAUCAGAAAGCCACGGCUAACUACGUG
rnacentral:rRNA from 1 species